rnacentral:lncRNA from 1 species
UCUGCAUCCUUACAGAAUCCCGAAUAUGUUAAUUCAGACUGGCUCAUGCUACUCAGGUAAAUAGCAACCAGCAGCAUUUCCUUCCCAGGUGGUUCAUAUGCCCCAUUCCUGAACUGUGGUAAAUAACUGGAGGGGAGUGAGGACCACAGAAGAGACUUCUGGCCCUGUGAGUAAACUGGGCUAGAAGGACAUCAAAGCCAUCUACAAACAUGAUGUGUGCAUCCUGCUUGAAAUGCCUCAACUUCGGGCUGUGUUCUCUGACUUGUUCAGGCUCAGGAUCUCAUAAGAAGCUCAGGAAGGAGGACCCAGCACAAAAUUUGUCAGGUAUCCAAAUACUCAACCCCCUACAAUUUGAGAUGAAUAUGGGAUGUCUCUAGUUAUGAUGACCAAAAUAUAAGGCCAUGAAGAGGGAGGAAAGCUCAGCUCGUCUUUCUACCCCUUCUGAUAUUGAAGGCAGCUGUAAUGGCCCAAGUUAGGCAUUGGGUUGCUAAUUGAAAUCCCCUCGAAACUUUUCUUUUUUUCUUUUAAGCAGUUACUGAUAUGGAUCCAAGAGAGUUUGUGCAUGUUCGCCAAAUACUUUUGCACUAAUCUAUGUCCCCAGGCCCCUUUUU